rnacentral:rRNA from 1 species
GAAAGUGUGGGGAGCGAACAGGAUUAGAUACCCUGGUAGUCCACACCGUAAACUAUGAUCACUAGAUGUUGGCGAUAUACAGUCAGUGUCUUAGAGAAAUCGUUAAGUGAUCCACCUGGGGAGUACGUUCGCAAGAAUGAAACUCAAAGGAAUUGACGGGGGCCCGCACAAGCGGUGGAGCAUGUGGUUUAAUUCGAUGAUACGCGAGGAACCUUACCAAGGCUUAAAUGUAGAUUGACAGAUUGUGAAAACAGUUUUUCUUCGGACAAUUUACAAGGUGCUGCAUGGUUGUCGUCAGCUCGUGCCGUGAGGUGUCGGGUUAAGUCCCAUAACGAGCGCAACCCCUAUUUCUAGUUGCCAGCGAGUAAUGUCGGGAACUCUAGAGAGACUGCCCGUGCAAACGGAGAGGAAGGUGGGGAUGACGUCAAAUCAUCACGGCCCUUAUGUCUUGGGCUACACACGUGCUACAAUGGUCAAUACAGUGGGAUGCCAUCUGGUGACAGAGAGCAAAUCCAUAAAGUUGAUCCCAGUUCGGAUCGGAGUCUGCAACUCGACUCUGUGAAGUUGGAAUCGCUAGUAAUCGCACAUCAGCCAUGGUGCGGUGAAUACGUUCCCGGGCCUUGUACACACCGCCCGUCAAGCCAUGGAAGUUUGGAGUGCCUGAAGUCAGUAACCGCAAGGAUCUGCCUAAGGUAAAACAAGUAACUAGGGCUAAGUCGUAACAAGGUAGCCGUACCGGAAGGUGUGGCUG